rnacentral:rRNA from 1 species
ACCUGACCCCAUGCCGAACUCAGAAGUCAAACGCCGUAGCGCCGAUGGUAGUGUGGGGUCUCCCCAUGCGAGAGUAGGGAACUGCCAGGC